rnacentral:tRNA from 1 species
UUGAUUGAAACCAAAUAGAGGUAUAUUACUGUUAAUAAUAAAAUUGAAUAUUAUAUUCCAAUCAAG